CUUUCCUACGGGACGCAGCAGUGAGGAAUAUUGGUCAAUGGACGAAAGUCUGAACCAGCCAUGCCGCGUGCAGGAAGACGGCUCUAUGAGUUGUAAACUGCUUUUGUACAAGGGUAAACCUGAAUACGUGUAUUCAGCUGAAAGUACUGUACGAAUAAGGAUCGGCUAACUCCGUGCCAACAGCCGCGGUAAUACAUAGGGAGCAAGCGUUAUCCGGAUUUAUUGGGUGUAAGGGGUGCGUAGACGGGAAAUUAAGUUAGUUGUGAAAUCCCUCGGCUUAACUGAGGAACUGCAACUAAAACUGA
rnacentral:rRNA from 1 species